rnacentral:rRNA from 1 species
AACGUAGGGGACAAGCGUUAUCCGGAUUUACUGGGCGUAAAGCGCCCGUAGGCGGCUUUGUAAGUUGGACGUGAAAGCUCCCGGCUUAACUGGGAGAGGCCGUUCAAAACUGUAGAGCUAGAGUGAGGCAGAGGAGUGCGGAAUUCCCGGUGUAGUGGUGGAAUGCGUAGAUAUCGGGAGGAACACCAGUGGCGAAAGCGGCACUCUGGGCCUAAACUGACGCUGAGGGGCGAAAGCGUGGGGAGCGAACGGG